CACACAGGAGGGACGUGGGGCCAGUUGCCACAGGGGAGCCUGCUGCCAAAAGUUCAGAAAUGCCUCAGUUCAAAACAGCCUCACAGAUCUGAUGAUGCCUCAGCUGAAGGCCACAUUCCGCCUCUGCUGUUGCUGCUGUACCAUGGCUGAAAUGUUUGCUGAAGACUUGUCCUGAGUAUUUACAGGCCAAUCAGGUCAUCUCUUUCUGGACAUGUCUGACAUGGAAAAGCUGCAUUCAUCAAUGGAAGACAGGUCUGCCCCAUGAUGUGGCAAUUCAUGAUCAGUACAUGAUUUGCUAUGAGAAAAAAAUAUAAAAUUUGAAGAACUUUUUUGCAACAAUAAUCCA